AAGAGGGUGUUAAAAGCAUGCAGCCGUGGAGGAUUACUGGAAGAAGGCCAGAGGGUUUUUGAAUCAAUUGAAACCCAUCUGUAGAUCAUUCUGCUUUCAUGGUUGAUUUGUUAGCUACGCCAGGGAAACUCGAUGAAGCAAAGAGAUUGAAUGGUAGCAUGCCACUGAAGCCCCACGCAGGAAUUCAUGGCUCCCUUUUAAAACCUAGCAGAAUCCAUAUUAGAAUUGAACUAGGGGAACUUGCUGCAAACAUAGCUCUUUGAGCUUGAACCCCAAAACUCAGGAAAUUAUGUUUUGCUUCCAAACAUGUGUGCCUUUGCAGGAAUGGGGAGAUGCUGAGGAGGGCAGAGAAAUGAUGAAGAAGGAGUAUAGAAGGCAACUAUAAACAUGUAUACUACUAUACGGGUUUGUAGUAGGAGAUAGAUCGCAUGAUAAAACAAAUGAAAUUUAUGAGCUGUUGGCCGAACUUGGAAACAAAAUGAGAAGGCUUGGGUGCACAGAGCUAACAACAGCUGUGUGCUUAGAGAUGUUGCUGAAGAAGAGAGAAGAAAUGGUGGGAACUCAUAGUGAGAGAAACUGGCCUUUGUUUUGAUCUUCUUGUUAGUGAACCAGGUUUUGAUUUUCUUUGUUGCAGAGAGGGGCAUAAAGAUCCUUCAGCGUUGAAUAUUUGGACAGUUUCUUUGAUGAUCGUGAGCUCUAAAGUACACAAUGAUAGCAGUGAUGUUAUGAGCAUAUUGAUAAUUACUUGAUAAAAGGUUAAUUUAAUUAAAGAAGAUUAACCUAAAAGUCUAUUAGGUAGGACAUAGGAGACUAGUAUGCCUGCAAUUGUCGACGGAUGAGCUGCCUACAUGGCAUGGCGGCAACAUUGUGUGCGGCCGACCAUGCAUAAGUUGAGUGGUCAUAGAUUUCCAAUCUGUGGUUUACAAAAGUAAAUUUAUAUGAUGGAGCAAGUAAGUCCAUGCAAGGAAAAUGCCAAGAAGGCAGGAUGAAGCAAGCAGCCCAUGAGCAAGCACAAGGCAAGAAGAUGGCAUGAAGAUUGUGGAGUCAAAUCAUCUUACCGCUAUCCCAUAUGCCAGAACUUGGAAGUUAUUCCUCAAUGAGAGGACAUGCCAGGCUUUGGCUAUAAUCGUGACCAACUUCAAUUUGUUUGAGUAUCCAGUGAAUUAUGGGGAUAAUGUCUCUGUGUUUCUUACAGAUGGGCAAAUCUAAUACACAUGGAGGCUUGAUUUUGGCCAGCACUUUGGUAUUUGGUGAUACUUUUAUCCUGCUUCUGAGAUAUCAAGACUUUGAAAAUGGUGAUGGAAUUGUGCAGGUGUUUGUCAUGGGAUUGGGAUCUAUACUGAAGGCUUGCCAACCAGUUCAAAUUAACUUCAAUGGAAACUAUCAUAAGACAAUCUAACUUGGGAUAGCUUGGUCGUUGUUGUAUCAAUUAUUAUUUAAACGACGAUCUUCCUCGUGGUAAUAUCUUUUUCGUAGUGGUUCAUUUUCUUCCUCCUCCUUCCUUCGAAGAAAUGCAAGAAAACUUUGAAGCUUUAAAUAAAUCUCGUCAAGCCCACAAGAAUAAAUCUCUACUUCUACCUCAAGCCAUUUUUUCCCUGUGUUUCCCUUUCUCCUCCACUCGAUUCCUUAAGAAUAUGUGAACGCAUACACAAAUGUCAACCGUUAGUCGUUGGUGAGACCUAAUCAAUCUUCCAGGAGUUUCUCAGCAAUGUCCCGCAUGAAUAAAUAAACCUAACCCUAACCCUAACCCUAACCGUGCACGUCAACAUCAAAGCACAUGGUUUUAUAGCUUGGACUAGCAGUGGUGAGUCCGUUGGUUCCAUCAUUCCAUUGAAGCACCUAGGUUCAAGUAUUAAAAUAAGAGAUAGCACCUUACAAUAUCCUGAAUUGUUUGCUGUCUAUAAAUACCUUUUCCUCUUCACCUCUCCACUAAACCAACCAAAGCCUGGUACACAAAGCUUGUGAUUGGAUUUUGCACUAUAAAUAGCCCUUUUCCUCUUCACCUCUCCACUAGACCAACCAAAGCCUGGUAUCUACAAAGCUUGUGACGAUGGAGGCAUUAUACCCCAGCUCAGAGUUCAACUUGAAAGAGGUGCCAAGAGGACAUCUGAGCUACUUGAUCGGAGGAGGCGGGGCCACUGUUUCCGUUCUCUUUGUCUGCUGGAUGCUGUAUGUGUUGAUGAACAAAUACAACUUCUCCAUAGGUUGUAAAUGCUCCAUCUCCAAGUCCCAAUUGCGUGACAUUGAGUCAGUCCCAAGCUAAUGACAUUUAAUUUAUAUACAAGGGAUUUCUGGACUUUGAUUCGACUAGUCUGUGCAUCUUCAUGCUAGCUUGGGUUUUUAUUUUUUCUUAAAAAAAGAUGACAAGUCAUUUUUAUUCGAAAUAAAAAUUUAGUGAUUUUUUGUGCUAUAUAUGUAAUUAAAAAAAUAAAUAAUAGAUUCCCAUUUUGGCUGUCC